GACGAACCUUGCUAACGUUAUUCGGAAUUACUGGGCUUAAAGGGUGCGUAGGCGGUGCAGAAAGUUGGGUGUGAAAGCCCUCGGCUCAACCGAGGAAUUGCGCCCAAAACUGCUGCACUAGAGGAAGACAGAGGUACGCGGAACUUAGGGUGGAGCGGUGAAAUGCGUUGAUAUCCUAAGGAACACCGGUGGCGAAGGCAGCCGCCUGGCCUGACACUGACGCUGAGGUGCGAAAGCGUGGGGAGCGAACGGG
rnacentral:rRNA from 1 species